CUGCUUCGGCAGCACAUAAACUAAAAUUGGAACGAUAUAAGCAGAUUAGCAAGGCCCCUGUGCAAGGAUGACACACAAAUUCGUGAAGUGUUCCAUAUUUUC
ensembl:snRNA U6 U6 spliceosomal RNA